rnacentral:tRNA from 1 species
AGGGCGUAGCGUAGUUUGGUGGUGCACUUUCAUGGCAUGCAAGGGGUCAGCGGUUCGAUCCCGCUUAGCUCCACCA